GCAGCUGUGGUUCUGAUCUUAGGGGUACUGGUACUUCUUGGAACCAAAAGAAGAAGAGAUGAUGGAAAGUAUUUGGCUGGCUUUGAUGAAACCUACAGUAUUGUCACCUAUGAGUUCACAAAUGAGUGACAACAGCUGCAUCAGCCCUGAGAGAUAAAGUGUACAGCUUUGCAGUGUUAAAGUUCAGCUGUUGCUUUUCU